AAAAAAACAAACACAAAAAGGUAUUAUAUCGUAAACAAACAACUUAUAGCGUUUGGGAGUAUAGCGUUCUUUAUAUUUACAUAGUAUCAAAGUAUAGAUAUCAGGGGCCAUAUAAUAUGUGGUUCAUUAAUCAAGGUCAUAAUUACCUUCUUUUAAAAGAGCGAAAAAUUAAAGAUUAAAAAAAAAAAGCCUUUAAGCUCCCUAAAAAAGUCGUUAACAUUAAGAAACUCGUAUGAUGUUUGGGAAACUUUGUAAAAGAUAAAACCUUUUUAAGAAUAAUCGGAAAAUUUAGUGCCUCUAUUCUGGCAU